CCGUCUGCCAUGGCGGGUGGGUGAAAGACCCGAGCUAACAUGGGGUUAGUUCGUUAAAUUACAAUAAAGCCUCGUGCAGUUUGCAGCAAGCUCUCGAAUCCGCCUGGUGAUUGGGGUGACCGCGAACCUGGCCUGAGACCCCGGAUACUUGAGUUUUCGGGGGUCUAACAUUUUGGGGGCUCGUCCGGGAUUUGCGACCACCCUUCACCUGAGUGGAUUCGAUCUUGGAGGUUUCUGCUUCUGGCUGACAUCUGAGUAUCAGUUGCGGACUACAGGCUGUUCUAAGUAGACUGCGAGCCCUGGACUUGCUGUGGAUGUGAACCAGUCAGCUGAUGUGGACACCCCCUGUCUCUACAACAGUGUCUGCUAACCAGAAGCCCCUGAUGAAUUCCCCAUUGCCUAAAUUCCUUUUUGCUUUUGACUAGCAUUUCAACCUUCUGGGGUCCCUAACUUCGUCCCAAAGUCAGCAGGAAGCAGUUUGGAAAAGAAUUUCGCCGUCCAUUUUCCCUGGUUAAAAUGCUAAGUCAAAGGGAACUCCCUUGCAUGGGGAUGCCAGUAUCUAUCACUCCCUGAUGGGGAUGCUAGAGAGACAGCAAUUCCAUGAUUGGAAUUUACAAAAAAGAAAAUGGGGGAAUGAAGGAACCAGCUCCCUUUUGGCAGCCAUUACAGCCGAACACAUGCUUGCCAUAAACCUGCCUUGGUCACGUAGAGGUCAGAUGCCUGUCUCGUGACAAGGAACCCAUCAGAAGUUAGUCACUAGAAAGUCAGAUGCCUGUUUCAUGACAAGGAGCCAAUCGGAAGUUAGCUGGUGGCGCUAUGCUUUACGACCCUGGGUGUGCUUUACGGACAAGCGCACAGCAAUGACGUAGAGAGCAUAGCAACCACCCUGGGAGGGCCUAUGAGCCAUAACAACCAGUUGACCAAUCAACACAGGGCAAGCCCUCCAAGCCUGGAGGCACACCAAUCAUGAGCCUGUGCGUAAGCCUGUGCGUACCCCUAGACACUCCCCUUACGCUGCCCUAUAAGAUCUUUGGGGAGACCUUAGGAGCCGUCUUUUUCUAGCCGUCU
rnacentral:lncRNA from 1 species